UUAGCUAGUCUUGUUACAUGGAAAGAAAACUUAGUGAAGGCCAAGGGUACUUUUGUCCAAUUACAUAAAGAAAUUGGGAUAUUUUUGGAAAUAGACUUUGGCUAGGUGGCGAAAAGAUAAAAUAAUAUAAUCAGAUUGCUUGAUUUUUCUCUUUUUUUUCUUUUUUUUUUGGAUGUGAGGUGUCCGCAAAUAUUUUCUCAAAGCGAAAACCACGUGGGUGCGCGCCAUGUGGGACCCGCGUGGCAAAUAGUUUUUUUGGAAGAAAUUCUUUUUUUUUUUGGAAGAAAUUCUUAAUGAAAGGUACUUUUGUGCAACUUUUUGGAUUAUAUGAAGAAAUUUUGUUAUAUAUAAAGAAAUUGGGGAUGCAUUAUUUUUGGGCAUAUUUUUUCGGCUAGAUGGCAAAAAGAUAAAUAAUAGAAUGAGGCUGC
rnacentral:lncRNA from 1 species